UCUAACCACUCGGCUAUCCUGCCGCCCCACAAUGCACUUGGGCUUUGGUCAAAUGUAGUGCACCAAAUAGGGGAAUAGUAUAAGGGAAUAAGGGAAUAGUGUGAGGGAAUAAGGGAAUAGUGUGAGGGAACAAGGGAAUAAGAAAUAAGGGAAUAGGGAAUAAGGGAAUAGUGUGAGGGAAUAAGGGAAUAAUGUGAGGGAAUAAAGGAAUAUUGUGAGGGAAUAAGGGAAUAGUGUGAGGGAAUAAGGGAAUAGUGUGAGGGAAUAAGGGAAUAGUUUGAGGGAAUAAAGGAAUAUUGUGAGGGAAUAAGGGAAUAGUGUGAGGGAAUAAGGGAAUAGGGAAUAAGGGAAUAGGGAAUAAGGGAAUAGUAUGAGGGAAUAAGGGAAUAGGGAAUAAGGGAAUAGUGUGAGGGAAUAAGGGAAUAGUGUGAGGGAAUAAGGGAAUAGGGAAUAAGGGAAUAGUGAAAUAGGGAAUAAGGGAAUAGUGUGAGGGAAUAAGGGAAUAGGGAAUAAGGAAUAGUUAUGAGGGAAUAAGGGAAUAGGGAAUAAGGGAAUAGGGAAUAAGGGAAUAGUGGAAUAGUAUGAGGGAAUAAGGGAAUAGGGAAUAAGGGAAUAGGAAUAGGGAAUAAGGGAAUAGUGUGAGGGAAUAAGGGAAUAGUGUGAGGGAAUAAGGAAUAGAGAAUAAGGGAAUAGU
ensembl:lncRNA